AGUAAUGAUGAUUAAUCCUAAUUCUAAUAACUUUCGUUCUACUGACUGCGAUCAAACGAUCUUGUAGAGAUUUUUUAACUCUGAUA
rnacentral:snoRNA from 1 species